rnacentral:rRNA from 1 species
GGACGACCAGCCACACUGGACUGAGACACGGCCCAGACUCCUACGGGAGGCAGCAGUGGGGAAUAUUGGACAAUGGGGGAAACCCUGAUCCAGCGACGCCGCGUGGGUGAAGAAGGCCUGCGGGUUGUAAAGCCCUUUCGGUGGGGAAGAAAAGCCUCGACCUAACACGUCGGGGUAUUGACGUAACCCACAAAAGAAGCACCGGCUAACUCUGUGCCAGCAGCCGCGGUAAUACAGAGGGUGCGAGCGUUAAUCGGAAUUACUGGGCGUAAAGCGCGCGUAGGCGGCUAUACAAGUCGAGUGUGAAAUCCCCGGGCUCAACCUGGGAACUGCAUUCGAGACUGUAUGGCUUGAGUAUGGGAGAGGGAGGCGGAAUUUCAGGUGUAGCGGUGAAAUGCGUAGAUAUCUGAAGGAACAUCAGUGGCGAAAGCGGCCUCCUGGACCAAUACUGACGCUCAUGUGCGAAAGCGUGGGGAGCAAACAGGAUUAGAUACCCUGGUAGUCCACGCCAUAAACGAUGAGAACUAGAUGUCGGGAGGGUUAGCCUCUCGGUGUCGCAGCUAACGCGUUAAGUUCUCCGCC